GACGAACGCUGGCGGCGUGCCUAAUACAUGCAAGUCGAGCGGAUGACAGAGGAGCUUGCUCCUCUAGAUUCAGUGGCGGACGGGUGAGUAACACGUGGGCAACCUGCCCUGUAGAUUGGGAUAACUCCGGGAAACCGGGGCUAAUACCGAAUAAUCCUUCGGACCUCAUGGUCCGAUGUUGAAAGACGGCUUCGGCUGUCACUACAGGAUGGGCCCGCGGCGCAUUAGCUAGUUGGUGAGGUAACGGCUCACCAAGGCCACGAUGCGUAGCCGACCUGAGAGGGUGAUCGGCCACACUGGGACUGAGACACGGCCCAGACUCCUACGGGAGGCAGCAGUAGGGAAUCUUCCACAAUGGACGAAAGUCUGAUGGAGCAACGCCGCGUGAGUGAAGAAGGUUCUCGGAUCGUAAAACUCUGUUGUGAGGGAAGAACAAGUACCGGAGUAACUGCCCGUACCUUGACGGUACCUCAUUAGAAAGCCACGGCUAACUACGUGCCAGCCGCCGCAGUAAAAC
rnacentral:rRNA from 1 species